rnacentral:rRNA from 1 species
UUGAACGCUGGCGGCAGGCCUAACACAUGCAAGUCGAACGGUAACAGGAAGAAGCUUGCUUCUUUGCUGACGAGUGGCGGACGGGUGAGUAAUGUCUGGGAAACUGCCUGAUGGAGGGGGAUAACUACUGGAAACGGUAGCUAAUACCGCAUAACGUCGCAAGACCAAAGAGGGGGACCUUCGGGCCUCUUGCCAUCGGAUGUGCCCAGAUGGGAUUAGCUUGUUGGUGGGGUAACGGCUCACCAAGGCGACGAUCCCUAGCUGGUCUGAGAGGAUGACCAGCCACACUGGAACUGAGACACGGUCCAGACUCCUACGGGAGGCAGCAGUGGGGAAUAUUGCACAAUGGGCGCAAGCCUGAUGCAGCCAUGCCGCGUGUAUGAAGAAGGCCUUCGGGUUGUAAAGUACUUUCAGCGGGGAGGAAGGGAGUAAAGUUAAUACCUUUACUCAUUGACGUUACCCGCAGAAGAAGCACCGGCUAACUCCGUGCCAGCAGCCGCGGUAAUACGGAGGGUGCAAGCGUUAAUCGGAAUUACUGGGCGUAAAGCGCACGCAGGCGGUUUGUUAAGUCAGAUGUGAAAUCCCCGGGCUCAACCUGGGAACUGCAUCUGAUACUGGCAAGCUUGAGUCUCGUAGAGGGGGGUAGAAUUCCAGGUGUAGCGGUGAAAUGCGUAGAGAUCUGGAGGAAUACCGGUGGCGAAGGCGGCCCCCUGGACGAAGACUGACGCUCAGGUGCGAAAGCGUGGGGAGCAAACAGGAUUAGAUACCCUGGUAGUCCACGCCGUAAACGAUGUCGACUUGGAGGUUGUGCCCUUGAGGCGUGGCUUCCGGAGCUAACGCGUUAAGUCGACCGCCUGGGGAGUACGGCCGCAAGGUUAAAACUCAAAUGAAUUGACGGGGGCCCGCACAAGCGGUGGAGCAUGUGGUUUAAUUCGAUGCAACGCGAAGAACCUUACCUGGUCUUGACAUCCACAGAACUUUCCAGAGAUGGAUUGGUGCCUUCGGGAACUGUGAGACAGGUGCUGCAUGGCUGUCGUCAGCUCGUGUUGUGAAAUGUUGGGUUAAGUCCCGCAACGAGCGCAACCCUUAUUGCCAGUUACUACGUUAAGAGGACUCUGGCGAGACUGCCGUUGACAAAACGGAGGAAGGUGGGGAUGACGUCAAAUCAUCAUGCCCCUUAUGAUCUGGGCUACACACGUGCUACAAUGGCGCAUACAAAGAGAAGCGACCUCGCGAGAGCAAGCGGACCUCAUAAAGUGCGUCGUAGUCCGGAUUGGAGUCUGCAACUCGACUCCAUGAAGUCGGAAUCGCUAGUAAUCGUGGAUCAGAAUGCCACGGUGAAUACGUUCCCGGGCCUUGUACACACCGCCCGUCACACCAUGGGAGUGGGUUGCAAAAGAAGUAGGUAGCUUAACCUUCGGGAGGGCGCUUACCACUUUGUGAUUCAUGACUGGGGUG